rnacentral:rRNA from 1 species
AGGGCUUGACAUGUCCGGAACCUUGCCGAGAGGUGAGGGUGCCUUCGGGAGCCGGAACACAGUUGGUGCAUGGCUGUCGUCAGCUCGUGUCGUGAGAUGUUGGGUUAAGUCCCGCAACGAGCGCAACCCACGUUCUUUAGUUGCCAGCAUUGANUUGGGCACUCUAGGGAGACUGCCGGUGACAAACCGGAGGAAGGUGUGGAUGACGUCAAGUCAGCUUGCCCCUUACGUCCUGGGCUACACACGUACUACAAUGCUGUGGACAAAGGGCAGCCAGCCAGCGAUGGUGAGCUAAUCCCAGAAACCACGGCUCAGUUCAGAUUGCAGGCUGCAACUCGCCUGCAUGAAGGAGGAAUCGCUAGUAAUCGCAGGUCAGCAUACUGCGGUGAAUACGUUCCCGGGCCUUGUACACACCGCCCGUCACACCAUGGGACUUGCUUCUGCCCGAAGUCGUUACUCCAACCUUAGGGAGGGGGACCACGAAGGCAGGGCUGAUGACUG